ACGCUCUUAAUUCAGUUCAGUAGAACGUGUGGCUCAAAAACCCAAUGUCGUUGAUUCAAAUUCUACAUUGCGUG
rnacentral:tRNA from 1 species